rnacentral:rRNA from 1 species
AUUGAACGCUGGCGGCAGGCUUAACACAUGCCAGUCGAGCGGGGAAGGGUAGCUUGCUACCUAACCUAGUGGCGGACGGGUGAGUAAUGCUUAGGAAUCUGCCAUUUAGUGGGGGACAACAUUCCGACAGGAAUGCUAAUACCGCCUACGUCCUACGGGAGAAAGCAGGGGAACUUCGGACCUUGCGCUAAAUGAUGAGCCUAAGUCGGAUUAGCGAGUUGGUGAGGUAAAGGCCUACUAGGGCGACGAUGUGUAGCGGGUCUGAGAGGAUGAUCCGCCACACUGGGACUGAGACACGGCCCAGACUCCUACGGGAGGAAGCAGUGGGGAAUAUUGGACAAUGGGCGGAAGCCUGAUCCAGCCAUGCCGCGUGUGUGAAGAAGGCCUUUUGGUUGUAAAGCACUUUAAGCGAGGAGGAGGCUACUUAGAUUAAUACUCUAGGAUAGUGGACGUUACUCGCAGAAUAAGCACCGGCUAACUCUGUGCCAGCAGCCGCCGUAA